rnacentral:rRNA from 1 species
GUUGAACGCUGGCGGCAGGCCUAACACAUGCAAGUCGAACGAGUGGCGGACGGGUGAGUAAUGUCUGGGAAACUGCCUGAUGGAGGGGGAUAACUACUGGAAACGGUAGCUAAUACCGCAUACCAUCAGAUUUGCCCAGAUGGGAUUAGCUAGUUGGUGGGGUAACGGCUCACCAGGGCGCCGAUCCCUAGCUGGUCUGAGAGGAUGACCAGCAACACGGGAAUUGAGAACCGGUCCAGCCUCCUAGGGGAGGCAGAAGUGGGGAAUAUUGGACAAUGGGCGCAAGCCUGAUGCAGCCAGGCCGAGUGUAUGAAGAGGGCCUGCGGGUUGUAAAGUACUUUCAGCGGGGAGGCGUUACCCGAAGAAGAAGCACCGGCUAACUCCGUGCCAGCAGCCGCGGUAAUAC